GUCUUUGUAGUAAUACAAGGCAUACGGCUCAGUAACGCGUAGUCAACCUACCCUAUGGACAAGAAUAAUCUCGGGAAACUGAGCAUAAUUCUUGAUAGAUCAUAAUGCCUGGAAUGGUUUAUGGUUAAAAUGAUUCGUCGCCAUAGGAUGGGACUGCGGCCUAUCAGCUUGUUGGUGAGGUAAUGGCCCACCAAGGCGAUUACAGGUACGGGCUCUGAGAGGAGAAGCCCGGAGAUGGGUACUGAGACAAGGACCCAGGCCCUAUGGGGCGCAGCAGGCGAGAAAACUUUGCAAUGUGCGAAAGCACGACAAGGUUAGUCCGAGUGAUUUCUGCUAAAGAGAUCUUUUGCUAGUUAUAAAACCACUAGUGAAUAAGGGGUGGGCAAGUUCUGGUGUCAGCCGCCGCGGUAAAACCAGCACCUCAAGUGGUCAGGAUGAUUAUUGGGCCUAAAGCAUCCGUAGCCGGCUCUGUAAGUUUUCGGUUAAAUCUAUGCGCUCAACGUAUGGGCUGCCGAAAAUACUGCAGAGAUAGGGAGUGGGAGAGGUAGACGGUACUCGGUAGGAAGGGGUAAAAUCCUUUGAUCUAUCGAUGACCACCUGUGGCGAAGGCGG
rnacentral:rRNA from 1 species